CUUCUUAAAUCCAGGCUGCUUUUCUCUAUUUCCAGCAGGAUUUUCCUCAUCUUUUGAUGCAACAUGUGAUCCAGUGUCUUCUGCUGCUGGUGUCGUUUGCAUCCUCUCCCUUGAAGAGCUUCUGUCUUGACAAUUUGGCACUUUGUUUGAAGAAGACGACUGGAACUUCUCAGAGGAAGAAGAAAAGCCAAAGUACUAGAGAAAGUCCUACCUUAUGCAGAAUAUGUUCUUCUCUCUUCUCUACUGCUGAAUUUAUUACAGGAGUGCUAGAGGCAUCCUAAACUAGAAGCAAUGUUUUCAGAAAGUCUUGGUAUUCUCUGGCACCAAAAGCUACUGACACAACUGCUGCCUUUGGUUUAACACAUCUCCAAAGCAAACAAGAAAGCACCUUGCGAAGCUGCCAAGAGAAAACAUGCAAAAACAACAGUGCGAGAAGUAACGCAUCGUAGGGAAAACCUUUUCAUAUGGACAUUGUCAUGCAGGCUGCUAUUCCUACUGACAGGCAUCACCUGCUCCUGUGUCUGCCUCAUAACAUCCCAGUGAUGAGUCCAGCAAUGGCUUACAUGGAAAAAGGCGUAGGAAAGUACUCAUGUAUUUUUAGCUAUCUUUUUAAAACACAGUUCAGCAGCUGGAGAAAGACAGGAGAAACCAACACCACGUAGGCAAUCACACACGGUGGAAAUUAGAAAGCAUUACGCAGACCUCAGUUUCUGAACUUCUAAGGUAAAACAUGAGGUUAAACACAGGAACAAAUUCUGAGCUUGCUUCUGCAUUAUUUCAUAGAGGAUUCCAGAUUUGUGCCUGUGCUGCUCUUGGGGGCAUUAGGAUCUCCGUCGUCAAGGUCUACUGUUUGCUUUGUUUGUGGUAUGCAACUUUUAACCCAAUCAUGGUUUGUUGGUUUUCUUGAAAAAUGAGGAAAUAAAAGAAAAAGGGA